GAUGAAGAACGCAGCGAAAUGCGAUAAGUAAUGUGAAUUGCAGAAUUCAGUGAAUCAUCGAAUCUUUGAACGCACAUUGCGCCCGCCAGUAUUCUGGCGGGCAUGCCUGUCCGAGCGUCAUUUCAACCCUCGCGCCCAUCUGGGCUGCGGUGUUGGGGACCGGCCUGCCCCCCCGGGGCGCGCCGCCCCCCAAAUUCAGUGGCGGUCUCGCUGCAGCCUCCCUUGCGUAGUAGCACACCUCGCACCGGAGCGCAGCGCGGCCACGCCGUAAAACCCCCGACCCCCAUGAGUUUGAACUCGGAUCAGGUAGGAAUACCCGCUGAACUUAAGCAUAUCAAUAAGCGGAGGA
rnacentral:misc_RNA from 1 species